CCUGGGCAAGCUUUAGAGAAGUGUGCCGUGAUCCAUUUCCAUACAGUCUGCUUCAUCAUGACCAGACAGUGCCUGACUCAAACCGCAGGUGAAUGCCACGGGCUGUGCCUCUCUUACUGUUGAUACGUCAGUGUUUUUCAACACCAAAUGCAAGACUCAUUUCUUGUAAAUGUGAAUGUUACUGAGGAGGGAACAGCAACAUCAAAUCAGAUGUGACCGCUCAGCUUUGAUGUCGUCCAAUCACGUCUCUCGGACGCUUGCUGCUUUUAUUUGCCCGUUUGAAGCCCAUUCAGUCAUGAAUAGAUUGAAUCACGUUAGUGCAGUGUUGAUGGUU